rnacentral:ncRNA from 1 species
ACAAAAGCGACGAAUGGAAUAAGUAGCGAGCAUGUCCCUAUUAAAGAGAGCUAGUGGCUGGUGGGAACUAGUAUAAACAUGAACGUGAAUUACCUCCAUGAGCAAUGAUUCUGAACCUUUUAUAUUAGGAAUCAUCGGUUAAUUCCGUUAUCUUAGUAAAGAUGAGAAUAGAUCACUAUUCUUAAGCUUGGGUGGUACCGCGUCUUAAAAAACGUCCCUGCA